GACGAACGCUGGCGGCGUGCUUAACACAUGCAAGUCGAACGGAAAGGCCCUGCUUUUGUGGGGUGCUCGAGUGGCGAACGGGUGAGUAACACGUGAGUAACCUGCCCUUGACUUUGGGAUAACUUCAGGAAACUGGGGCUAAUACCGGAUAGGAGCUCCUGCUGCAUGGUGGGGGUUGGAAAGUUUCGGCGGUUGGGGAUGGACUGGCGGCUUAUCAGCUUGUUGGUGGGGUAGUGGCUUACCAAGGCUUUGACGGGUAGUCGGCCUGGGAGGGUGACCGGCCACAUUGGGACUGAGAGACGGCCCAGACUCCUACGGGAGGCAGCAGUGGGGAAUAUUGCACAAUGGGCGGAAGCCUGAUGCAGCAACGCCGCGUGCGGGAUGACGGCCUUCGGGUUGUAAACCGCUUUCGCCUGUGACGAAGCGUGAGUGACGGUAAUGGGUAAAGAAGCACCGGCUAACUACGUG
rnacentral:rRNA from 1 species